AUCCCUUUGGGGACGUCCAUUAAAAUUGGAACAAAACGAAGAAGAUUAUCAUGAACCCUGUGCAAGGAUGGCAUGCACAAAUCGAGAAAUGGUCCAUUUUUUU
rfam:Ipomoea nil DNA, scaffold: scaffold1562, cultivar: Tokyo-kokei standard.